AAGUCGUAACAAGGUAUCUGUAGGUGAACCUGCAGAUGGAUCAUUUCGAUGAAAACCUUUUUUCAGAGGUGUGGCUCGCACCUGUCCAACUAAACUUGAGCUACCUUUUUUCAACACGGUUGCAUCGGUCGGCCUGUCAAACAGUGCGACGCAAGGAGAAAAUCCUUGUGUCUGCUGGGCGACGGACGGACAAUUUUAUUUAACACUUUUGGAUGAUCUAGGAUUUGAAGGAGAAAAAGUCAUUUUUACGAAUGAAAUCGACUGGUAAUGCGGUCGUCUAAUUUUAAAAACAACUUUUGGCAACGGAUCUCUUGGUUCUCC
rnacentral:misc_RNA from 1 species